AUUGAACGCUGGCGGCAGGCCUAACACAUGCAAGUCGAGCGGAAGAAGGGAGCUUGCUUCUGGAUACAGGGGCGGAGGGGCGAGCAAGGCAUAGGAACCUCCCUGGCAAUGGGGGAGAAGGUCCGGAAGUGGGGGCAAUUACGGCAUAAGCGCAUAGGGACAAAGGGGGGGAUCAGCGGAUCUCACGCUAUUGGAUGAGCCUAUGUGGGAUUAGCGUGUUGGUGGGGUGAAGGCCCACCCAGGCGACGAUCCGUAGCUUGUCCGAGAGGGUGAGCCGCCACCCUGGAACUGAGACACCGUCCAGACUCCUACGGGAGGCCCCAGUUGGGAAUAUUGGAAAAUGGGGGGAAGCCUGAUCCAGCCCUGCCGGGUGGGUGAAGAAGGGCUUCGGGUUGUAAAGCCCUUUUGGUGGGGAAGAAAGGCAGCAGGUUAAUACCUUGCUGUUUUGACGUUACCAACAGAAUAAGCACCGGCUAACUUCGUG
rnacentral:rRNA from 1 species